rnacentral:pre_miRNA from 1 species
AAUAAACCAAUUUUUCACUUUUUACCUAUAAUUUUGACUCUUCGUCUUAUUCAAAUUUUUUUGUGAUUGAUAUUUUUGUUUUUAUUAGAUGAUAAAUCAUGAGUAGUACUUUACGUGUAACUAAUUUUUUCUAUUUUUCUAAAGAUUUUUUAAAUAAGACGGAUGAUCAAACGUUAGACACAGAAACCGGAG